rnacentral:sRNA from 1 species
UUGAUUUGGGGAAUCAUCCAAAGGCAUCUUUUGGUGAAGAAGACCCAUGGCACCCAGUGAAGUUGAACACCCUCCUGGAGGCAAGCAGCCACCUUUUAUGAUUUUCUUUCAAUCCUUUCUACUUCCUUGCUCCUUCCUCCCCACCUCCCAUCAUCCAUAGCGUGGGUGAACUAAUCCAUCUCACAAGCGGAGUUCAGAGACUUGCCUUUCCACGCUGCUGCUCCUGUACUUUGUCCUGGCACCUCACCACCGGCAACAAGAGGCUUCUUUCAUAUUUAUCAGCACUUAAUUGCAAUCGCUGCUGCUUUAUGACCUCACAGAGGUCUUCAUCUUCAGUCAUUGUUUCCUGCUGGCUGGUGGAGCCCAGUGAUCACCGUCUUUUCCCACCAUUCAGCUCACAGAGGUGCAAGCUCAGAUGAAUUUUCCAGGCCGCAACUGGGAGAGGCAGUGGCUCAAUCACAAUUGCCUUAAAGGAAACAUUACAAACCCAAACACUGUCCAUUGGAAAAUGUUUUGGGAUGACUUAGGCAGGCCUCUUCCUUUGGAGAAUUGUCUUUGACCAAAUGGGAGUUGCCUAGCCUGGUUUUGCAAUGUUCCUUCCACUGGAGAUGAACCAUAGCCAAUGACUAACUGAUGCAGGGGCCUCAAAAAGACACUUUGCCUCAAAACUGGAUGGACAUAAGUUUCCAAUAGGACUUUGGGAAUGAAUUAAGAUGAUGAAUAUGAAUUUGGCUUCCUUGGAGGCAUUGGCAGGACCAAUGAAGGGAUAAGCUAACUGAAAAGGUUUUAGUUUGUUAUAUUUCAUGAGAGGACUGUGGUGGUCAACUCUACUGGUUGAAGGUCAGACAUGCAUCACUUCAAAGCUUGCUUCCAAGAUGUGACUCAUUUAAAUGUUCAUACCCAUCUUGCAUGGAGAGUUUUCCAGAAGCACAAAGUGAACUGAAGCAGAUGCGCAGUCAUUUUGCCUCGACAGGGAGCUUGAAGGAUCCUCCUGGGACGACAUUGAAAUGCUAGUGAAUGAUGUCAUCUUGAUCACUUUCAGGAUGAUUGCUGAGGGCUCUGAAGACCCAGAUGUGAGUGAAGUGAUGAUUUGGAAGGAGCCCGAGACACUGAAUGACCAUUCUGAAGACCACCCCACUAGGAAAAAAGGCUUUGCUAGCUAGUAACCAUAAUUAGUUGAAAACCCUAUAGUAUUAGUCCCUAAUAUAUAGAAGGGACUUUUUAUAAGCACCUGUCCUCUCUUUCUCUGCUAAUGCUGGCGUGGUGGUAAUGACUGUGAUGAUGACCUCACAUACUGAGAUGAUUCUGUUCUCUAGUAGGCUGUUCAGAUUCCUUGGCCUCUGCCUCUAGGGGCAUGUGACUGUAAGUGAUAACUAGCCUUCCUCUCUGACCGAAGUUUUUAUUAGAAGAAUGUAGUUUGGAGUGAAGUCUUCAAUAUAACUUAGGUUUGCACAGUAAAUUGUAAAACUUUAUGCCAAAAGAACUUGUCGAGAGGAUACAGAUGUCUGACAGUAUCAAAGGUGCUGUUUGAGGCCAUGCUCAUGGAGGGCAAGAAUCAGUCAGUUCUGGGGAUCCAGGCAUCAAGAAUACUGUCAUUGGUACCAAGUACCAAUUAGACCAGAGGACUACUUUGUUGUAAGCUAUUACAGGUUAUCGUAACCAAGUAUUUCAUAUUUCAAAAUUACUAAAAUAAUAGACUUGAAAUCACAAAAGUGUGAUUAAUUAUUGAGAUAUGUAGAUACAUUUAUUAGCUUUCUAUAAUCUAGUCCUAUAUCAAAGCAUUGUACUUUCCCCCAUAAAUAUACGUAACUGUUAGUUUAUUAGAAAUAAAUUAAAUCCUGCCAUGGGUCUUCUCUGAGGUUUACCAUUUUUUUCAUCCUUACUUAAAAGUUAUGUUUUUAAAAAUGUGCACAAAAUUUUAAUAAC